GAUAAGUGCGCCUAACAUCGCAAACCUUUUACUGGCAGAUUAUUUGGAUUAUUAAUUUUUAAAAACUGUAGGGAUUUUGAGGAUUCAUGCGUUUCGGAAUAAAUGUUUGUCAUUGUCAAUCAAUUAAUUGUGUGUUUAUUCGAAAGUGCGCCCCAGAUAGUUUCUAUUUGCGGAUGUUUCGCGAGUCUCCCAAAUUAAGAAAUUUAGGUCAAUGUUGGGAUUUUUUUAGCAGAUGACGGAAGUAUAGGAGGAGAUAUUAUAUAACACUAAGUUUCAUUUUGAUUUUUUGCAUACUGAACAAUAUGAAGAAAAAAAUCGUCAAUAUCUGGUAUGAUAACGAUACGGAAAGUAAACGGAAAAAAUAGCCACGAUUUCUUAAAAAACCAAAAAAAGCUAUCCUCUGUCGAAAAUAGUAAACUGCAUAGUUCCAAGAGUGAUUUGUGAGGAUAAAUUGGUGUGUUUGAAAUUAAGAAAGUUUCCAAAUGUGAAGCGAAAAACUUCAAUAAAUCAACAAGGGCGUCCAGUUUAUUUCAUUAUCGCUUCACCCGAAAUUCCAUGUAACAAUCGACAUUACUCGACUGCCGAGUUUGGAAAUUUUAAUCCGGCCAAAUAAGUGAGUAUAAUAAAUUAAUCGUAAGUAAUUAAUUGUGUUGCAGCCAACUUCGUUUAAUUAGUCUGUACCUAGUGUUAAAAGAACCGCGCUUAAUUAACACGAAUUUCAAGAUGAAUCCCCGAUUUGUAGGUCAGCAAUCAACCGAAUACCCCGGCCGGCUAGAAGAUCUUACCGGCUUCUCCGUUUUGGCUUCGUGUAAUUUUGGUAAAUUUUGCAUUUGAACAUAGCGUAAUUAAUUCAAGGGAAGCGUUUGAUAUCUUCAUUCCGAUAAGAAUGAAGGGGUUUCGUUGUGCUUGGUUAGUUUUCCCGUAUCUAAUAAGUACCGUUAGUUAAUUUGUGCUUCAGUUACCGCUAAGUAGUCGCUGUCGUGUCCAUGUGCCGUCAUUUUGUUUUAGGUAUUUGCCAGCGACCACCGCCAUUUGCCCCCCCCUCCCCCCCAGAUCUCUAGAGUUUUUCGUAGGUUCCAAAUUUCCGUUCCGAAACCGACGCCCUCGACUAGGAACAAGGGUCGAAACCUCCUGAUGGCGCUCAAGAUUUCCGUACCGUUCCGCCGACCAUCAGAUCUAGGU